GGCAUCUAGAACACUGAGGAAUCCAGGAUGGACACUUAACACUACCAAAGAUUGAUCUAUUUUGGAAUUAGUUCUUUAGAUCAGAGGUCCCCAACCCCGGGACUGCGGACUGCCACUGGUAUUUGGCCUGUCAGGCACCUGGCCACACAGCAGGAGUGUGAAAAAAAAGGAAAAAACUGAAAAUCUCAAGAGGAUUCCAGGAAAUCAAAACAAUGAAUUAUUGAAUAAAGAAUUUGAAAGAGAAAAUAGAUGCAAACUGAAAAAAGAAUUUUGUUUAGUGAGAUAGAUGUAAUAAUGAAGGCAUGUUGAUAACAGGGGAGCUAUGUAUAUAUGAGGGGAGGGAUAUAUUGGAAAUCUCUGUAUCUUCCUCUCAAUCUUGCUGUGAUCCUAAAACUGCUCUAAAAAAUAUUUUGAGAAGGAAUAAUGAUGUAGUAAACAUGUUCUGUUAUUUAAAAAGAGAGACUUUUCAUAGCUGCCUCCCUCCCCCUCUACACACACACAGAGUCCUGUCCGUCUUCAUUCGCUUACUCAAUAAUUUGUAUAGACACAACCACUGGGCUCCAGUAAUCCUAAAGUUUCUAGAAAAUCAAGCACAGAAAAAGGUUAAAACCCUGAGGGAAUAAAAGGAUUCCUUUGCAUCCAUUGCAUUUCUCAGGAAGUGAACUAA
rnacentral:lncRNA from 1 species